GGGCACUUGGUCUAGGGGUAUGAUUUUCGCUUCGCAUGUCCGCCAUGAGUAUGUGAAAGGUCGUGGGUUCAAUUCCCACAGUGUCCA